rnacentral:rRNA from 1 species
UUCCAGUCGCGUGUCCUGGACCCGAAGCGGGAUGAUCUAGCCCUGGGCAGGUUGAAGCGCGGGUAAGACCGCGUGGAGGACCGAACGGACCUGGGUUGAAAACCGGGCCGAUGACCUGGGGCUAGGGGUGAAAGGCCAAUCAAAUUCCGUGAUAGCUGGUUCUCUCCGAAAUGCAUUUCGGUGCAGCGUCGCGUGAGUGCCUCCAUGGGGUAGAGCUACUGGAUGCUUGAGGGCCCGUAUCGGGUACCGACAGCAGCCAAACUCCGAAUACGUGUGAGGUGUAUCGCGGCAGUGAGUCGGCGGGGGAUAAGCUCCGUCGUCGAGAGGGAGACAGCCCAGAUCGUCGUCUAAGGUCCCUAAGCGCGUGCUAAGUGGGAAAGGAUGUGGAGUCGCAUAGACAGCCAGGAGGUUGGCUCAGAAGCAGCCAUCCUUGAAAGAGUGCGUAACAGCUCACUGGUCUAGUGGUUCCGCGCCGAUAAUGUAGCGGGGCUCAAGCACGCCACCGAAGACGCGGCAGCGCAGUUUGCUGUGCUGGGUAGGAGAGCGUUCCGCGUGGGGCGAAGCGGCGGCGUGAGCCGGCCGUGGACCGCGUGGAAGUGAGAAUGCAGACAUGAGUAGCGAGAGGCGGGUGAGAAUCCCGUCCGCUGGAUGACCAAGGGUUCCGGGGCCACGUUCGUCGUCCCCGGGUGAGUCGGGUCCUAAGGCGAGGCCGACAGGCGUAGUCGAAUGGAUGAAGGAGUCGAUAUUCUCCUACCGGCGUCAAGCCGUCCAAUCCAAGACGUGGAAGCGUGCCCUUACCCGUGUCGGGUGAUGGUCUUCGGACCGUCCGAUGGCAUGGGACCGGCGUGUGGAUGCGUGGCGGGUAGCGCGGGAGUGACACGGAACGGGAGCCGGGCCGCGGUGGUGGUUAUCCGUGGUCAAGCAUGCGGCGCGUCGGGCAGGCAAAUCCGCCCGGCAUGAGCGCGAGGUGUGAUGAUGGGGGGUCUUGUGCCCCGAAUCCGGUGUGCCGUUCCGUCGAGAAAAGCUUCGGCGUGAGGAGUGGCGCCGCCCGUACCCUAAACCGACACUGGUGGUCAGGUAGAGUAUACCAAAGCGAUCGAGCGAAUCCUGGUCAAGGAACUCGGCAAAUCACUCCCGUGCCUUCGGUAUAAGGGAGGCCCCUGCCGGUGAGGCGCCUUGCGCGCGGAGCCGGUGGGGGCGGCACAGACCAGGGGGUAGCGACUGUUUACCAAAAACACAGGUGCAUGCGAAGACGUAAGUCGCUGUAUAUGCACUGACGCCUGCCCGGUGCCGGAAGGUUAAGAGGAUCCGUCAUCCCUCUUCGGAGGGGGCAGCGGUGAAUUCAAGCCCCGGUAAACGGCGGUGGUAACUAUAACCAUCCUAAGGUAGCGAAAUUCCUUGUCGGGUAAGUUCCGACCUGCACGAAUGGCGUAACGACUUCCCCACUGUCUCGACCAGGAGCUCGGCGAAAUUGCAGUACGAGUAAAGAUGCUCGUUAAGCGCAGAAGGACGAAAAGACCCCGGGACCUUUACUAUACCUUGGUAUUGGCGUUAGGUGCGGACUGUGUAGCAUAGGCGGGAGGCUUCGAAGCGGGUGCGCCAGCAUCCGUGGAGCCGGAAUGUGAAAUACCGCUCUGUCCUCAUCUGGCCUCUAACCUCGGCCGGUCAUCCCGGCCAGGGACAGUGCCUGGCGGGUAGUUUAACUGGGGCGGUUGCCUCCCAAAGAGUAACGGAGGCGCCCAAGGGUUCCCUCAGCCCGGUUGGCAAUCGGGUGUUGAGUGCAAUCGCACAAGGGAGCUUGACUGCGAGACCGACGGGUCGAGCAGGGACGAAAGUCGGAGAUAGUGAUCCGGUGCCGGCGUACGGACGCGGCAUCGCUCAACGGAUAAAAGGUACCCCGGGGAUAACAGGCUGAUCAUCCCCAAGAGUCCAUAUCGACGGGAUGGUUUGGCACCUCGAUGUCGGCUCGUCGCAUCCUGGGGCUGGAGCAGGUCCCAAGGGUUCGGCCGUUCGCCGAUUAAAGCGGCACGCGAGCUGGGUUCAGAACGUCGUGGGACAGUUUGGUCUCUAUCCUCUGCGCUCGUUGGAAUCUUGAGGAGCCCUGCCCAUAGUACGAGAGGACCUGGGUGGACGAACCUCUGGUAUGCCGGUUGUCGCGCCAGCGGCACGGCCGGUUGGCUACGUUCGGAUGGGAUAACCGCUGAAAGCAUCUAAGCGGGAAGCCCCCUCCAAGAUAAGGAUUCCAUGAAGCCUUCGGGCUUCUGAAGACCCCAUGCAGAACACAUGGUCGAUAGACCGGACGUGGACACCCCGCAAGGGGCGGAGCCGACCGGCACUAAUGGUCGAAGACAACACACCAU